AAGUCGUAACAAGGUUUCCGUAGGUGAACCUGCGGAAGGAUCAUUAUCGAAAUCGGCGGCCCAUCGGCAUGCGCCGUCUUCCCUCGGGAGGGCGUGCCGCGGUCGUGGUCGUUUUUCCACUUCACACCCCUGUGCACCUAGUGGCCCUAGCGGCCUCUUUUUAACAAACACAAAAGUUUAAAGUAUGAACAGCGGCUCACGCCGUCCAAAUCAUUAAACAACUUUCAACAACGGAUCUCUUGGCUCUC
rnacentral:misc_RNA from 1 species